rnacentral:rRNA from 1 species
GACGUAGGGUCCGAGCGUUGUCCGGAGUUACUGGGCGUAAAGGGCGCGUAGGCGGUUAUCCGCGUCGCACGUGAAAGCCCCCGGCUCAACCGGGGAGGGUCGUGCGAGACGGGGUAACUGGAGGCAGUGAGAGGCUGGUGGAAUUCCCGGAGUAGUGGUGAAAUGCGUAGAGAUCGGGAGGAACACCGGUGGCGAAGGCGGCCAGCUGGCACUGACCUGACGCUGAGGCGCGAAGGCGUGGGGAGCGAACGGGAUUAGAAACCCCAGUAGUCC